AUUGAACGCUGGCGGAAUGCUUUACACAUGCAAGUCGAACGGCAGCACGGGGCAACCUGGUGGCGAGUGGCGAACGGGUGAGUAAUGUAUCGGAACGUACCUUUCAGUGGGGGAUAACGUAGCGAAAGUUACGCUAAUACCGCAUAUUCUGUGAGCAGGAAAGCGGGGGAUCGCAAGACCUUGCGCUGAUUGAGCGGCCGAUAUCAGAUUAGCUAGUUGGUGAGGUAAAGGCUCACCAAGGCGACGAUCUGUAGCGGGUCUGAGAGGAUGAUCCGCCACACUGGAACUGAGACACGGUCCAGACUCCUACGGGAGGCAGCAGUGGGGAAUUUUGGACAAUGGGGGCAACCCUGAUCCAGCCAUGCCGCGUGAGUGAAGAAGGCCUCGGUUGUAAGCUCUUCGCCGGGUAGGAAGUACGCAUGGGCUAAUA
rnacentral:rRNA from 1 species